rnacentral:rRNA from 1 species
AUUGAACGCUGGCGGCAGGCCUAACACAUGCAAGUCGAGCGGAUGAAGGGAGCUUGCUCCUGGAUUCAGCGGCGGACGGGUGAGUAAUGCCUAGGAAUCUGCCUGGUAGUGGGGGAUAACGUCCGGAAACGGGCGCUAAUACCGCAUACGUCCUGAGGGAGAAAGUGGGGGAUCUUCGGACCUCACGCUAUCAGAUGAGCCUAGGUCGGAUUAGCUAGUUGGUGGGGUAAAGGCCUACCAAGGCGACGAUCCGUAACUGGUCUGAGAGGAGGAUCAGUCACACUGGAACUGAGACACGGUCCAGACUCCUACGGGAGGCAGCAGUGGGGAAUAUUGGACAAUGGGCGAAAUCCUGAUCCAGCCAUGCCGCGUGUGUGAAGAAGGUCUUCGGAUUGUAAAGCACGUUAAGUUGGGAGGACGGGCAGUAAGUUAAUACCUUGCUGUUUUGACGUUACCAUCAGAAUAAGCACCGGCUAACUUCGUG